GAGCUGACUGCUUGAAUUUGUGGUUCCCACACAGGUGCUGCAUCCCGCACAACGUUCUUUUCUGCGGCAGAUGCACAAUCAACGUUUGAGUUGCCAAACGUAAAGCUGCAAUAACUUGAUCUCAACAUAAAGGAGGACAAGAACGAUUGUGGGAAGGAUAAAAAUGGAAUAACUAGUUUAUCAAUAUACAAUCUGCACUGGUUUAAUAUGUGACAAGGAGGCAAGCCAGCAGUGCAGAAUGGCAAUGGAUAUGAUGCAGUUGAGCAAGCAAGAGAAAUUAAGGAUGAAAAGGCAGAAGAUUUUCUGAAAAAUCAGAUUCUGGUCUUACAUUUCAGUCCUACAGAAGACAAGCUUGUAUGGUGCACAUACGAUCCUAGUAUCACAGAGAAACCUGAAUAAUCAGAAGCAUCGG
rnacentral:lncRNA from 1 species